UAAAGCAAUGGGACCUAAGAAGCAUGCACUGGCCCAAGCGUUAGGCCCAAGCGCUUAAUUUGCACUGGUCUAAGGCAUCUUUCUUCUUCAUUUCUCUCUCCUCUCUUGAAAACCCACAACUUCCCCUUUCUCUCUCCCCUUCUUGUUCUUCCAUUUUUACUUCACUGACACACUCUUUCUUACCUUUCCCAAUCUCCUCCAACAUCCUCUUGGAUCUCCCCCUUUUUCCUUUUCUAAUUUCUUCCAAAUCUUUGCGUUUAGAGAAAUUCAUACCUGAAAAAUUACAGGAAUGUCUUUGAUCUCUACUUUCUCUCUCCAAACUCCAGUCGUCGAGGUGAUAAGAACAGUGGAGUAUAGUAAAGUUGGGAGUUGACUAAAGCUUGUUAGACAUGGCAACGGGCAAAAAUUUGAGAGCAAUUUCAUUUCAGGCAUGUGAUUUUCACGUGGUAAUUCGUGACAACUUUUGAGGUUCAGAUUUUAGAUGGGUGAGUUAAUUUUCGUAUGAAAGGUGAAUUUGUGGGACUGAUUUUGUCAUUUUCAAGUUAUAGUUAUAAUUUUUCAAUUAGUUAAGGAAUUUUAAUAAUUAGUUAUAUAUUUGUGGCUCUUAGUUAUGGUAUUCAGAUUCAUAGUUAGCUUUUGCUUAAUAGAUAUGAUAUUCAGAUAUAGUUAUGAUUUUUAGGUUAUUAGUUACUAAUUGUGGUUAAUAAGUAACGGUUUUAUGGUGGAUAGUUGUGAUUCUGGCUAUUAGUUAUUGUUUUCUGAUAAAUAGUUAUGAUAUUUGGGUAUUUAGUUAUUAUUGUUUUUUACAUUAGUUAUGACUUUUUGUUUUUUAGUUCCGGUUUUAUGGCUAAUAGUUUUAGUCUAGAAAAUAAGUAAAAGAUUAUAAUUAUAGUAUAUGAAUAAUUAUUUAUUAAUUUCAUCAGUAACAAUAAUGCAUGGUUUUAUUGUUAUAGUUUUGAUAUUUGGUUUAUACUUUGAGGGUUGAUAGUAUGGGCUGUCAAUAGUACGUUAUGAUUUUAAGAUCAUUAGUUUUAUUUAUUGUAUGCAUCAGUAAACAUUAUGGGCAAUAAAAUGCAUUAUAAUCUGAUUUUUAUGAUAUAAUUAAUAUACUUCAGCGCUUAACUAACAUACUUUAGCGUUUAACUAAUUUACUUCAGUGCUUAACUAAUUCACCUAGAACCAAUUUAAGGCUAGCAUAACUAAUAGGUGCAAGCGCUUAAAUAAUUCUACUGCUGGAUUGAUGAACGCGCGUAAUGUCAGCAUGACAUCAGCGGUCUCAUAUUAACACUAAUGUGAGAUCGUCUCACCAAAGACGGACUCUUAUUUUUUUUGAGAAUUAACACCUAAGAUAAGAUAUUGAUUAAAAAAUUUUAAGAAGUGAUAACUAAAAUAUCCUCAUAAGCGCAAUAGCCUGAAUCAGUGAUAAAUUUUUAGAUUUGAUAUCUAGAAUAAGAUAUUAAUUUUACUAAAUCGUUAUUUAGACCAAAAACAUAGAAUAAAAUAAAUAAUCGCCAUAAAAAUUAACACCAAUAUGCUAUUACUCACCUUUUCAAACCAUUCCAGCUAUUUAGCUCAAAAUAAUUUCAGUUAUUGCAUCCCACUUCUCAAAACAUACAGUCUAUGAGUCUAGCACUCUAGCUAGACUCAUGUAUGAUCAGACAUUCUUUAAUGCGAGCUUGUGUCCACCGAGUACUAUUUACCCAUCAAAAGUUUUCAUUCCUUUUAUGCGAUCUCUACUACAAAACUUCGAUCAGCAAGCGUGUGAAAUUUAUAUAAUAUAUAUUGGAUUUAUCAUACAUUCAAAGUUAUUUCUCUCAUUUUCUUAUAAUAUGAAAAGAGGAAUUGUUACUUGCUUGCAUCACAUUAAUGAAAAGAUAAAAAGUCUUAAAUAGAUACAAGAAGAAACUGACUUAAGCUAAAACUAAGGAAAAGAAAGUAGGGUCAUGGCCCACGUUACUAAGGGAUGUAGUGAUAAACCAAUAUGCUAAAAUUCCUUACUAAUACUCGUUAAGUUUGAAGAAAGUAUCACAAAAUUAUACUGGUCAUAGUAUUUCUCAUACAUAGUUUUUUAUUCUUUGUACGCAAAUAAGUAGAUGGACCAGAGUCCAGAGAGCACACAGCUCUUGGUGCACCUGCUUCUAAACGCAAUGUUUUGUAUGCAAAACGCAAAGUUGAAAACUUUACUGAAAGAAAGGAAAAGCUUUUAACUGUCAAUAGAUAUGUAUCCUUAAUUGUUGCCGGCAAAUGUGGGAACAUAGUUGAUUGAAAAAUUAAAUAUCUAUCUUUAAUCUUCCCCAUACCAAAGCCGCGUUAUUUUAAUCAAUAGAAAAAAUAAACUGCUAUUCUCUUUAAUAGUGAUAUUAACACAAAUUAAAGUCUAUACUCUAUACGUAGUCAUUAUAUAGUUAAAAUAUACUAUAACAAAAUUUAUUAGAGAAUAUAAGAAAAUAAGGAACAUUGCAACAAAAAUUUAUAUAAAAUAACAAACAAAGAUAAUCAUAAAAUAUGAAAUUAUUUAUCAAAAAAUGAAUAUGAAGGCAUCAAACACAAUAUAUCAUACUGAUUAUAAAAGAACAUGUGCAUACAAAACUUGAUGAACAAAAAACUAUCAAAAAUCACAAAAAUGAAAAUAAACAUAAAAAGAACAUGAAGAUUUCAAAUAACGAACACCGCUCUAAUUAUAAAAGAACAUAGGCAUAUAAGACUUGAGAAAAAAAAACUCUUAAAGAUCACAAAAAUAAAAUAAACAUAAAAAAGAAUAUGAAGGUAUAAAUGUAGAACAUAAUAUUAAUUAUAAAAGAACAUGUACAUAUAAUAUAACAGUGUUUGCCAAAACAAAAACUAAUAGAUAAUAGUAGUUUUUAAAAAAAAAAAAAGUUUAAUGUGAUGGUAGUGGAGGUCCUCGGCUGCAAUUCGUGGGAGUUAUCUGUUGAGUUCUGCCAUUUUUUUUAAAAAAAAAUUAUUUACUUUUCUUCAUUUAACAGGAUUGCGUUUGAUUUUAUUUGCUCUGUGUUUUGGAGCAGGAGCACGUAGAGGAAGGUGGUCUCUAGUCCACCAUCCAUGCUUUGUUGUUUGUAUAGCUAGCUCCAUGUUAGUUUAUCUUAUCUGUUUUUAUACAGCUCUAUAUUUGUUUUGUCUUUUAGUUUGGUGCUCUCUCAUUAAUUGGUUAAGGUGGUGCAUAUAAGAUGCACUUUAGAGGAUCCCUAGGUUAAGAUGUAAGAAAGUGAGGUGUAGGCUUUGAGUAAAUAUACCUGAGCAAAUAUUGCUCUCAAAACUAAGAAUUGAUUUUCACAUAGAGCUUUCACCUUUCUUCAUGGUACUAUAGCUGUAAGGUAAUUACAACAGAUAUUUUACAAAACUGAAGAUCAUAAUAUCAGCAGAGAUGGCAGGAUCAGGAAAAGAAGAAGACGUUGCAACGGCAGGAGGAUAUGUGGAUCCUUUGUUCUUGUCCAGCAUUGCAGACAAUCUUAAGAUGCAUUUGAACACCAUGCUCUUCAAUGGAGGUAAUUUUCUCAACUGGAGUAGAAAUGUGAGAAUGGCUUUAGGUGCUAAGAAUAAACUUGGAUAUAUUGAUGGUUCUUGCACUAAACCAGAGGCUGGCCUGGUACUAAAGAGUCUAGUAAAUGGCCCAUGAAUGAUUAUAUGAUAAGGUGUUGGUUGUUUAAGUCAAUGACUGUAGAAAUGGCAUAAUGCUUGAUGUUGAUGGAAUCCUCUAAACAACUUUGGGAUGAAGUUGUAGAGAGAUAUGGACAGGGCAAUGCUCCUCAGUUAUAUCAACUGAGAAGAGAUGUAGCUAAGUUAGAACAAGAAAAAAUGAGUGUAUAUGAGUACUACUGUAAACUCAUAAGGUAUUGGGAUGAAAUACAAGUUGUGGAGAGUUUGCCUACAUGACUGUGGGGCGAUGAGCAAAUGUGCUUGCAAGUUGCAUAAAGAAAUUGAUGAAAAUGAUAGAAAGAAACAGAUUAAUUGAUUUCUUGACGGGAUUGAAUAUGGAAUAUGAUAAUGUGAGGGGAAAUAUGAUGGGAAUGGAUCAUAAGCCCAACCACUGUGAACAAGGCUUUUUACAUGGUGCAACAGAAAGAGAAAUAAAAGGAAGUGAAUAUUGUAAUGGGAAAUGUAGGUUAUGAGGGAGGAGAUGCAAGUGUAUUCCUAGUGAAGAAGUAUGAACAAAGGGAUUUUUAAAAAAAGGAUUACAAGAGGGAGAAAAUGAGUAAAAAAAUGUGAUCAUUAUGGGAUGAUGGGUCAUAUAAAGGUUGAAUGUUUUAGGUGAUUACACCUCCACAAUGGUAUAAAGAUAUCCAAAAAGUGAAGGAUGGAAGCAAAUUUGCAGGAAAUGUUGGAAGGACAGAGGAGUAUGAGAAGAAUGACAUCCCUCUAAAUGUUGUGGUGUAUGAAGCAAGCUGUAACAGCAACACUACUAAGCCUGACAGCAACUUGAUCUCAGCAGUUGUCAAGGAGGUAAUGAAGGCUUCCUCGGAAAACCAAGGAAGCAGCAGCAACCCAGGUAAUACAGCAAGGGCAAGAAACUUUGCAGUAUCCUUGUACUGAUGAAGAACUGGGACAUGGAGAGAAGGAGUAUGGACUAUACAGAUUUCAAGAAGGCAUGAGAAGAACUGAAGAAAAAAAAGAGAGAAGUGAAGGAUAAAGAUUUUUGUAGGAAAUGUUGAGAAAACUUUGAAGAAUAUUAAAUUGCAUGUAAUGCAUGCUAGUUGA